rnacentral:rRNA from 1 species
ACAGAGGGUGCGAGCGUUAAUCGGAAUUACUGGGCGUAAAGCGCGCGUAGGCGGCUUUGCAAGUCGGGUGUGAAAUCCCCAGGCUUAACCUGGGAACUGCAUUCGAGACUGCAUUGCUAGAGUAUGGGAGAGGGAAGUGGAAUUUCAGGUGUAGCGGUGAAAUGCGUAGAUAUCUGAAGGAACAUCAGUGGCGAAAGCGACUUCCUGGACCAUUACUGACGCUGAGGCGCGAAAGCUAGGGGAGCAAACGGGA